rnacentral:rRNA from 1 species
UACAGAGGUCUCAAGCGUUGUUCGGAUUCAUUGGGCGUAAAGGUUGCGUAGGUGGCGCCGUAAGUCGGGUGUGAAAUUUCGGAGCUUAACUCCGAAACUGCAUUCGAUACUGCGGUGCUUGAGGACUGGAGAGGAGACUGGAAUUCAUGGUGUAGCAGUGAAAUGCGUAGAGAUCAUGAGGAAGACCAGUGGCGAAGGCGGGUCUCUGGACAGUUCCUGACACUGAGGCACGAAGGCCAGGGGAGCAAACGGG